rnacentral:rRNA from 1 species
GUUGCGUUUCACGCUCUGGGAGCCCGGGUGUCAAAGCCCGACUCUCUUCACGGUCGGACAACAUCGCCGGAGUGGUGGCCGGUGGGUCGCGUUGUAUCGGUUCGCGUGGCGUUUCGUUUUCUUCCUCUUCGGGGUUCGCUCCGUCGAGGGGGGGGUGAUCGCUCGCGUUCAGUUGACGCGGUUCGCUCCACCCAGUCAAUCGUUCGGGGUGCCCUUCACCGGGUGUCUCGGGCGGCCGGCAACGUUUACUUUGAACAAAUUAGAGUGCUCAAAGCAGGUGUAUCCCAACGCCUGAAUAUCGCAGCAUGGAAUGAUGGAAUAGGACCUCGGUCCGAUUUUGCUGGUCUUUUCUUUUGGACCCGAGGUAAUGGUCAAUAGAGACGGACGGGGGCAUUCGUACUGCGGCGACAGAGGUGAAAUUCUUGGACCGCCGCAAGACGAACAACAGCGAAGGCAUUUGCCAAGAAUGUUUUCCUUGAUCAAGAACGAAAGUUAGAGGUUCGAAGGCGAUCAGAUACCGCCCUAGUUCUAACCAUAAACGAUGCCAACCAGCAAUCCGUCGGAGUUACUCCAAUGACUCGACGGGCAGCUUCCGGGAAACCAAAGUCUUUGGGUUCCGGGGGAAGUAUGGUUGCAAAGCUGAAACUUAAAGGAAUUGACGGAAGGGCACCACCAGGAGUGGAGCCUGCGGCUUAAUUUGACUCAACACGGGAAACCUCACCAGGCCCGGACACUGGAAGGAUUGACAGAUUGAGAGCUCUUUCUUGAUUCGGUGGGUGGUGGUGCAUGGCCGUUCUUAGUUGGUGGAGCGAUUUGUCUGGUUAAUUCCGAUAACGAACGAGACUCUAGCCUGCUAAAUAGGUGACGGGUUUUAUCAAUUGAAACCGAAGGGAGUACGGAGGCGUCGGGAUCAGGUGGCGGCGGUUCGGGUGGAAGGGGCCGGGUUCUUUAGCGGGCUCUUUUCGCGGCGUGGAUUCGGUUGGAAGCAAAAAGGAUGGGGGAGUUGGUGUUCGGGGUUUCGGCUCCGGGCGUUGGCUUUUCUUUUCUUGCGUUUCCUGCCGGGCUGCGUCGCGAGGGGGUUUUGCGGGGGCUCGGUCCUUUGUUUCUCGGUCGUCGUCAUCCCCGGCGAUACCUUCUGCUCUCGCGUCCGUCACGCAGUCUUCUUAGAGGGACAAGCGGCGUCCAGCCGCGUGACAGUGAGCAAUAACAGGUCUGUGAUGCCCUUAGAUGUCCUGGGCCGCACGCGCGCUACACUGAAGGAAUCAGCGUGUUUCACUCUCCCUGUCCGAAAGGACCGGGUAACCGCUGAACCUCCUUCGUGGUUGGGAUUGGGGACUGCAAUGAUCCCCAUGAACCAGGAAUCCCUAGUAGGCGCGGGUCACUAGCCCGCGUCGAUUACGUCCCUGCCCUUUGUACACACCGCCCGUCGCUACUACCGAUUGAAUGAUUUAGUGAGGCCUUCGGACGGGCUUGUCGGGGUGCCGUCGCGUGGGGAGCAAUCUCUGCGCGCGCGGUGCCUACCAACGGCGAGACUGAAAGAUGGUCGAACUUGAUCCUUUAGAGGAAGUAAAAGUCGUAACAAGGUUUCCGUAGGUGAACCUGCGGAAG